rnacentral:rRNA from 1 species
AGUGAACGCUGGCGGCAGGCCUAACACAUGCAAGUCGAACGGCAGCACAAGAGAGCUUGCUCUCUGGGUGGCGAGUGGCGGACGGGUGAGGAAUGCAUCGGAAUCUGCCCAUUUGUGGGGGAUAACCUCGGGGAACCGGGACUAAUACCGCAUACGACCUACGGGUGAAAGCAGGGGAUCUUCGGACCUUGCGCAGAUGGAUGAGCCGAUGCCGGAUUAGCUAGUUGGAGGGGUAAAGGCCCACCAAGGCGACGAUCCGUAGCUGGUCUGAGAGGAUGAUCAGCCACACUGGGACUGAGACACGGCCCAGACUCCUACGGGAGGCAGCAGUGGGGAAUAUUGGACAAUGGGCGCAAGCCUGAUCCAGCCAUGCCGCGUGUGUGAAGAAGGCCUUCGGGUUGUAAAGCACUUUUGUUGGGAAAGAAAAGCAGCCGGUUAAUACCCGGUUGUCAUGACGGUACCCAAAGAAUAAGCACCGGCUAACUUCGUG